UACGUAGGGUGCAAGCGUUGUCCGGAAUUAUUGGGCGUAAAGAGCUCGUAGGCGGUUUGUCGCGUCUGCUGUGAAAUCCCGAGGCUCAACCUCGGGUCUGCAGUGGGUACGGGCAGACUAGAGUGCGGUAGGGGAGAUUGGAACUCCUGGUGUAGCGGUGGGAUGCGCAGAUAUCAGGAAGAACACCGAUGGCGAAGGCAGAUCUCUGGGCCGUAACUGACGCUGAGGAGCGAAAGCAUGGGGAGCGAACAGG
rnacentral:rRNA from 1 species